UUCCGCGAAUGCAAUGCAGCUGUGAGUUGGUUUAAUCCCAAGAGGAUUAAAUUAAAUGAUUACAAGGGGUCAGGUAUCCACGAAAGUGGGAGGCGCCAUUAGUUUGCUUUAGCGAGAAAUGAAAAAACAAAAGAAAAUCUUUCCCUUUCUUGUGGAUGAUACGAGCCAGAACCAGAGCCAGAGCCAGAGCCAAAUUGGAGUUAAUAUAAGUGGGUGUGGGACUCCCCAAAGGGACAUAUCGAUCUUCCACCAAUGUAAGUGCCGACAGGAUUUUCACAUACCAGGAAUCUCUCUUAAGUUUCUUUUUCAUUCUCGAUUAUUGAUUUCUACGACCUGUAGUUGAUCCUGUUGUCAUAAAAUUAAAAUUUAUAGGAAAAAUAUAAACUUUAUAAAUUAAAAUUGUUUAUGAAUAAUUAGGAGAUUCUCCAUAUUUCUCUAAAUUGCACAUAUUAUCGGCCACGAAAAUGACACACCCAGGAUCACUAUAACCAGAAACUGAAACUUGUAAAUGGAGAAGUUAUCGAUUUGCGUACCUGAUUUGAAAUCCAUCGAACUUGAUGCGGAAUUGGUGACGGUUUCCGAUCGCGAACUCAAAUGCUUCUCCCCUAUACCCCUUGGCGAAACAUUGGCCUAAUGAGAUUUCUACUCACGAGAAGAAAUUCCUCUUUAGAUCCUUAUGUGAGUCAAUUUGUGUACCAUCAGAUUAGAGGAGGGACUUGAGCGCUAUUUAUAUAGUUUUCAACCACGGGCCCUCUCAUUACGGGCCGAGCCGUACUCGGCCCAUACUCGCCAGCUCCAUAUUAGACUUAUUAAGAACCCAUAUAUCUCACCUUUAUUAGACCAAACUAAUUCAGUUAAUUUCAAUUAAUGAAGCCCACAUUAAGAAAUUCUUACACAUAUAUCUCCUUAAUUGUCCAUAUCCUUGAUUGAUCUUAAUUGAUUGCAAUUAAUAUUGUAAUAUAUACAUAAUGUACUUUUCAUCAUGAAAUACAUAGAAAUUAUACAAUUUUCUUCCACAUAUUCUUAUCUCGGUGUCAAAGCUCUUGCGUCUAAGGAAGCGCCCAUCAAGUCUUUAUCCGAUUUAGAUUUGCCGUUCUCAGACGAGCUAGAUCCUAAAAUUUCGUCGCAUUCCCGCCGCCGCAUGCGCCAACAUGCGCCUCUCCAUUUGGGAUCCAUGCCCCUCUCAUGCACUAGAAGCCUUUGCACGCGUAUUGCUAACAUCAUGAACAUGUCAGCGUUGGCCUGGGCACCUUAGUGAUCGCACGUCAUCAGCCACAUUAGACUCAAUUGUGUAUUUACCAUGUCGGCAGACACGUCAUCAACCAUGUUAGAUUCAACCCAUAUAUGCCAUGUCAUCACACACAUCAACACACACGGAAGCCUUUUAUGCAUAGUGUGCACAUGUCGGCCGGUUUUCUCCUUAACUGAUCGAAUCAGUUCGUGUAGCCUGCCGGACCGAUUCCUUUUUUGUUCGGUUCAGUUACUUUUUGAUCGAUUCUUGGAGAUUUUGGAACAGUACUUAAGCUAUUUCGAAAUGCUGAGUCUGGUUUGGGCCUUCUUUUCUUCAAAUUUGUCUUCGAAGGUGUUAUUUGUGGAUUGAAACAAGCUCCUCGUGCAUAGAAUUCCAAGUUUAGCUCAACCAUGGAAUGCCUUGGAUUUACAUUCAAUCCCUGUGACAUGCAAUUUUUGUUCAACGAACAUCUCAUGGGUACAUUCUACUGCAUUACGAAGCUCCAAAGUAUCUUAGUCAACAGUUUUUUUUUUUUUGGGUCAGAAUCUUAGUCAACAGUUUGAAAUUGAGGAUCUUGCAUAACUCAACUAUUUGUCUAGGCUUGGAUGUUGCUUCAAAUUCCUCAGGUUAUUAGUUUUUUCUCAAGAGAAAUAUGCCACUGUUCUUCUUUCUCGAGCAGGACUCAUUGAUAACAAGUAGUCAAAACUCCUCAUUAGAAUAAUGCCAAUUUUGAUGACAAAGAUUAGACUCUUCUUCUACAUCCUACGCUCUAUCUAUACUCGGUUGAUAGUCUUAUAUAUCUCACUGUCACUCAUUUUGACAAUGCCUAUGCUAUUCAUAUUUGUUAAUCAGUUCAUAGCCGCACAUGUACGGCGACUCACUUUGCUACGAUUCUUCGGACUUUCCGCAACAUCAAGGGUACCUUAUAUCAUAUCAUUCACUUUCAUGCUCACUCUACUUUAGAGUUGAGAGC